rnacentral:lncRNA from 1 species
CACAAUGGGGUGGUUCCAUGGCCCAGAAGCACUCUAGCUACAGAUUAGAAUGAUGACAAGAGUAAUACCUUCCUAGUGAAGAUGACGUUUAUUUCAGGACUAUAUUAAGUUUCCCAACUUCUGUCAUGAUAUAGUCCAAAGAGAACCUGGACCACGCAGACAUCAAACAGAACAUGACACUGACCCAUUCUAUCAGUGACGUUGUGCUGAUUGCACAGGACAGAUGAGAGGCUCGUAUACUAGAAGUCUUGAUAACUUGUUUUCUAGUUUCACAUGUCCACAGAUGAAGAAAAAUUGUGCCCCAGCAAGGAUUAUACCCAGAGCCUCAUCCAUUCAUACCUGAUUUAGAUACUUAGAUGAUGAGUAAUAGAAAACAUCUUUAUGUAAAUCACUGUACUUGGCUUCGUGAGAAAUAUAAAAAUGAAUUGCUUCAAUCCCUGGACUCAAGGAUCCUGUGUUACCAAGGUGGUUAUCAAACCUGGGUCAAAGUUGAAUCACCUGAGGAUCUUUUAGAACAUACACAGCCAGCUGGACCUGCCCUCAGCUACCUCAUCUCUCUCUGUGACCUAAUGACAGAAAAGCACAUGAUUCUCUUCACCUGACUUCAUAUAUGGGUCCAUGUCAUAUGAUACUUCAAAAUCUGUGAUUCCAUGAAGCCAAGAGUAGCUCUUCAACAGGAAAUGAAUGAGUGCUUCAGCUUCUGAUCCCAUUAGUAAGAAAAUACAGUCUUAUGAGCAAUGAUGGAGCUGCAUCUCUUAGGGGCAUUUGAUUCCCAAGAGACCAAAGAGCAAAGAGAAUGUCAAUUUAAAAAAAUCAAAUGUUUCCAUGACUUAGCUAUUUAACUGCUUUAAAAUGAAUGAAUGCUGCUUCAAGUUCUUUCAAAUACCCCACAUCUUGGCAACAACGAAAGGAAUUAACAUGAAGAAAAUUUACAAUCUUUCAUCACAUCGAACAAUGUCCCACAUUUGAAAAGUUCACAGCACAGAUUUCUGGUUACUGAAAGAAAGGAAAGACCUUCUUUGGAUUUGAAUAAACAGAUGGACUUUCUGUUAUCCACAGAAGGAAUGAUCUGCAAUGUACACACGCCAGGACAGAAAUUCUACAGUUGCUGAUAAAAUGUAAACCUGUAAGUACUGAAUAAGAAUUAUGCCCAAUAAAAAGUCAUGGCUAGGGAGUAAAAGAUGGAGUGUUGACAGGGAAGUAGAACAAUAAAUGGGGUAAUCAGGAAAGGCUGAUUACCUUUCCUGAUGGGGAAGGGUGAGACCCCUAAUCUAGUCCAGUCUCCCAUUUUACAAAUAAAGAGACUGAGCUCCACAAGGUUAAGCUACUGGUCCAGAAUCCCAUAGCUCACAAGUGAUGAGCUGCCUCCUUGAAUUAAUCAUGAGUAGCAUAUUCUUCAG